rnacentral:rRNA from 1 species
GUAGAAUGUCUUCGGAUAUUUGAGACCGGCGCACGGGUGCGUAACGCGUAUGCAACCUACCUCUUACUGGGGAAUAGCCCGGAGAAAUUCGGAUUAAUGCCCCAUAUGCUCGUACGACCUCAUGGUCGAGCGAGGAAAGUUCCGGCGGUAAGAGAUGGGCAUGCGUCCUAUUAGCUAGUUGGUGAGGUAAUGGCUCACCAAGGCGACGAUAGGUAGGGGGCCUGAGAGGGUGAUCCCCCACACUGGUACUGAGACACGGACCAGACUCCUACGGGAGGCAGCAGUGAGGAAUAUUGGGCAAUGGAGGAAACUCUGACCCAGCCAUGCCGCGUGCAGGAAGACGGCCCUAUGGGUUGUAAACUGCUUUUGUACGAGAAUAAACCCUUCCACGUGUGGAAGGCUGAAGGUACCGUACGAAUAAGGAUCGGCUAACUCCGUGCCAGCAGCCGCGGUAAUACGGAGGAUCCAAGCGUUAUCCGGAUUUAUUGGGUUUAAAGGGUCCGCAGG